AACGAACGCUGGCGGCAGGCCUAACACAUGCAAGUCGAGCGAGAUCUUCGGAUCUAGCGGCGGACGGGUUAGUAACGCGUGGGAACGUGCCUCUCUCUACGGAAUAGUCCUGGGAAACUGGGUUUAAUACCGUAUACGCCCUUUUGGGGAAAGAUUUAUCGGAGAGAGAUCGGCCCGCGUAAGAUUAGAUAGUUGGUGGGGUAAUGGCCUACCAAGUCUACGAUCUUUAGCUGGUUUGAGAGGAUGAUCAGCAACACUGGGACUGAGACACGGCCCAG
rnacentral:rRNA from 1 species